rnacentral:tRNA from 1 species
GCUGGGAUAGCUCAGAGGAAAGAGCAUCCGGUUUCUACCCGGUAGGUCGGGGGUUCGAAUCCCUCUCUCAGUACCA